UUUUACCCGAGAUUGCGUUAGGGAUAGGAGCGGUAUCCUUUUGCUUUUUUCUUUAAAAAGCAAAAGAUACAAGUGGAUAGCCCGGCCGGAG
rnacentral:sRNA from 1 species